rnacentral:misc_RNA from 1 species
UUUCCGUAGGUGAACCUGCGGAAGGAUCAUUACUGAGUGAGGGACCUCUGGAUCCCACCUCCCACCCGUGUUUUUUUUACUUUGUUGCUUCGGUGAGCCCGCCUCACGGCUGCCGGGGGGCAUCUGCCCCCGGGCCCGCGCCAACCGAAGACACCUAGAACUCUGUAUGAAGAUUGCAGUCUGAGCAAAAAAUAAAUAAGUUAAAACUUUCAACAACGGAUCUCUUGGUUCCG